rnacentral:lncRNA from 1 species
AAAGCUUAGAGUUGGGAGCUAACAUGCCUGAGGCCACACAACUAGCAACCGACAGAUGCAGGAUUCAAACUCAAGCUCGGAGAUCCUGGAACCCACUAACCACAAGGGAGGUCCCAACCUCGUGUCUCACAAGGUUGAACGGGCAGUGUCGGCGGGGCGGAGCUGCUUCCUGUAGGCUCUGAAGCAGAACCCUGCCCCGCUCACUUGCUGGUCGGCUGAAUUCAGUUCCUUGGGCUUACAGGGCUGAGGUCCCCGCUCCUUGAUGGCCGUGAGCCCCCGCUGUUCUGUGCUCCUGGGGCCUGCCGCGUUUCUGCCUGAACUCUCCACACGGCCCCUCCAGCAACAGCAGGUCAAGCCCUCCUCACGCUUCGAAUCCCUCCGCCUGCAGCUGGAGAAAGUUUUCUGCUUUUAAGGGCUCAUGGGAUUAGACUGGGCCACCCAGAUAAUCCAGGAUCAUCCUUUCUUGUAUUGUCAAGAACCCUAAUCACAUCUGCAAAGUCCCUUGUGCCACUAGUAGGGUAACAUAGUCAUGGUUCUGGGGAUUAGGGGGUGGUAUCCCGAGGGGGCCGUUCUGCUCACCACAAACCUCCCUAUAUAGCACAGGGUGGCCAUCCCUAGCGGGCUGCUAGAUGGAUCUUGCCCUGUGGGCACACUCCUGCCACGCCAGGCUAGGACGAAGGUCCCUCCAGGCCCCAGCAGACUCCCUGUGCGCCUGGCCUUGGAGUGCGUGUCCUGCGUGUGUCCUGUGCCGGUUCCCGCCUUGCCUCCUUACCGACGCGCCUCCCUUCUGGCCUCCCAUCCCCGUGGCGGCACUGUGGCCCCAAACGGGUCCACCAGGUAACCUCGUGGUUUUUCUUUUCAAUGAACAAGUAAAAUGUCUCCCCACCGUCUCAUCAAUCUGAGGGACAGGAGUAAUCAACACAGAACUGUGCUGCAGUACAGCCAAUUAAUGACAACACUUGUUCCUGCAGAACAGAUCCAGCUUCAUGAUCUUUUAGAAGAGAGUUCUAAAAUAAAAUCCUUUACCUCCCAUGUCACUGUCGCUCUGGCCCAUGCAACACCACCCCCCGACCGACAGGGAGGGCAGGAGCCACAGCCCGGGCAACUCCUCGAGGGGAGGGAUCUUUGUUUUGUUCACUGAGGUAGUCCCAAGACCCACUGCAGGAUGAGCGCUUGGCAGGUGUUCCUUGUGAGUGAAGAUCUCUAACAGUCAGCGGAUACAGUAGGUGUGCUGCACCCUCACACCUCUUGCUCCUGCCAGCAUUGCUAAUGAAUCAAUCACGACCAUCCUUCCCUUAAGCCUGGAUGCAGUCCUGUAGCUCUCAACCCCACAAUCCAG